rnacentral:misc_RNA from 1 species
AAGUCGUAACAAGGUUUCCGUAGGUGAACCUGCGGAAGGAUCAUUACCUUUCUAUCAGGGGAGCUGGCUUUGUGCAUGGGGCUUUGGCCCUUGCUCUUUCGCCUCUCCCUCCUGAUUCUACCCUUGUCUUUUGCGCACCAGAUGUUUCCUUGGCAGGCUUGCCUGCCGGUAGGACAAUCCCAAAACCUUUGUACUUGCAGUCAGCGUCAGUAACAAAUUAAUCAUUACAACUUUCAACAACGGAUCUCUUGGUUCUG